AUAGUUCAGUGCAGGUCUGCAGGAAGGGCCUGCCUCCACUCAUGCAGGUACCUGGGAUCACCUGUCCAUUGGCUACACUGCCCUUUAGGGCCUCCAAAUCCCCAGCUGAAUUAUUCCCAUCCAUCUAGUAGGAAAGGAAAAAAGAAUGUUGAAGGAUCAUGCAAAAUGUUUUAGGGGCCAGUCCUGGACGUAAAAUAUGUUACAUUGGCUAGAAUGCUGUUACACAUUGCCACCUAUUUCAAGAGAUGCUGAGAUUUGGAGUCUUCUUGGGUGCCCAGAGAUUUGAGUAUCACCUAGCACUGUUUCUGCUUCAGAAAAAAUAUCCCUUGACAUUGGCUGUGAUACCUACCAACCUGAAAAAAUAUCCCUUGACAUUGGCUGUGAUACCUACCAAGCUCACAGGAAAUGGAAGUAGAACUCUGAAGCUAAAUCAGAGGACUCCAAGCAAAUGAAGUGACUGAAAGCAAGAAUGGCUCAUUGCCCUUGAGCUACACAGAAAUGUAUAGGUGGGUGUAUUGGGUCGGUUCCCUGGAAGCACAACCUCAGAUGGGGAUUCUUGUGCAAAAGAUACACGGAGGAAGAGCUCAAGGAAGUAACUUGCAAUGAAGCAAGGGGAGCAAGCUGGAGCAGGAGAAAAGAUCAGGCAAAGGCAUGCUUUCAGAAGUCUAGCCUCGGCCUCAUCCACAGGGAGCUCCAGAGAGUGAAUGGUACCAUGCAGCUGGUCAACCUUCUUGGAGGAGGGAGCUGCUGAUAGCCUUCAGUAGACAGCACUUGCACUAGCCAAGGGAUGAGUGCACCAGCCCAGUGGAGGGGAUCUGGGUAGAGCACCUAUGCCAUCUGCUAUAAUAGGAAGGACAUGCUUUUCCUUUUCGUAUCCUCUACCUGAAGCAAUAUAUCACGUACUCAGCAGACGCUCAAUAAGUGUUUGAGAAAUGAAGAAACAAAAAGACAGAGGGAAGGAGAGAAGAAAAGAAACAAGAUUACAGAAAAUUCUAAAAUACUCUUGGGCUCCAAGAAAUGCAUCUUCAAAUAAGGAACUUCACAUACUUAUGCUGAGCAAUGAGAGAGAUAUUUUGAGAAACCUGAAAAAAUAAGAGAACUUUGAGUUUUCAGUGCUCUGGAAAUGGCAAAAAGGUAGGAUAUUUUAGUCAUGCAUUGGAAAUUAAAAGAUUGCCUCCCAUC
rnacentral:lncRNA from 1 species